AUGGCGGGAUUGGAGCCGCUGGUGGUGGUCUGGAAAGGAUCAGGGGUUCGAGUGGUGGUGCUCCUGAGCUUCGCAGUCCAGGUCAUACUCCUCGCCUUGGCAGAUGUUCGGCGAUACUUUAGCCUCCCCGUGCUGAAAGCCAUCAUUUGGUCAGCAUACAUGCUGGCCGAUACGGCGGCGGUAUAUGCCCUGGGCCACAUGUCUUUGGUGAGUAAGUCGCCCGACCACCAUCUUAUGGCGCUCUGGGCGCCAUUGCUUCUGGUGCACCUUGGCGGGCAAGACAACAUCACCGCCUACGCAAUUGAGGACAACCAGCUAUGGCUGCGUCACCUUCAAAACUUUGGGGUACAGGUCAUAGCAGCCGCCUACGUGUUGCAUGUGUCAACCGUCCUUGGUAGCCAGACCUGGCUCCGUUCAGCCUGCAUCGUCAUAUUUGUGGUUGGGGUUCUCAAGUACGGGGAAAGGGUAGUUGCACUCCUGUGUGCAUGCAGCUAUGCUAGUAGUAGCCUAUCCGCCACCAGUUAUAAGGAUUUUCUCUCUAGGCACAAGAGGCCUGAUGUUAACAACUCUGCCACGAGCCCCGCGCACGUGCACGAGAGGGUGGAUGUUUUGGACGCAUCACCGACGCACCUGGUAGAACUGCAGUUGAUAGCUUACACACUGUUGGAUGUUCCCAAGAAAAUGUUUGAGGGGCCGACACGCUAUGUGGAAAUCUAUGGUGCUCAGCGCUUAAGAGGAGAAGAUAUGUUCAGGGUGGUCGUGAUACAACUCUCCAUGAUGUACGACCUCUUGUACACCAAGGCUGCGGUGGUGCAUGGAUGGUACAGUGCGUGCAUCCGCGUCCUCUCUCUGCCGGCCACUGUCGCGGCACUAGUGUUGUUUCAUUUGCAUUUGCAUGCAUCAGGCCACAAGCGGAUUUCGAUGUUGGGAUCCAUGGGGCAACAUGACCUGUUUCUCCUGUGCUCUCGCGCUAGGAAGAACCUAUCCAGCAAAAUCGCAGCAUGGAUUGGAUGGGACGACUGCUGGGACUCCGGGGUCUACUCCUGGUCCAUCCGCCUCACGGAAGAACUCAUUCAGGCAGUGGUGCAAGUUGUCUCCCGGUCAGAAAACAACGAGGAAUUUGACGUGAAGAACUCACGGGGCCGGGCUUCCCUUAUUCGAUGCAAUCAGGGGAGCAAUGAGAAGCUGUUACGGACUGUGGAGUUGGAUCUGGAUGAGAGCAUUCUCGUGUGGCACAUCGCCACUCAUCUCUGCCUCACUUGGCUCCAGUUAAGGGACGGACGUAGUCAUAGGCGUCGUAGAGUAGACCGCUCCAAGGUUACAGAUCUUGAUGUAGUAACGGCGCUGUCCAACUACAUGUUCUUUCUGCUCGCCACACGCCCUUAUAUGCUCCCUUACCCUGUUAGCCGCCAGAGGUAUGUGCAGCUGUGCCAUGAUGUCAUUACCCCAUCCGAGGAUCAGCUAGGGUCCAUAGAAGGCCUGGUGCGUGCAUGGAAUGGUACUCCGCCCCUGGCUCUGGCUGUAUCCGAUAUGAAUAAAGCACUAGAGAAAGGAUGCGAGCUUGCCCAACAGCUGCUCACCAUGAGGACACCUGAUAUGACAACACUUCAUAUGAUCCUCGAUGUGUGGGUGGAGAUGUUGUGCUACGCGGCUUACUGGUGCAACGAGAAUUUCCAUGCCAAGCACCUAAAUGACGGUGGUGAGCUCAUGACCAUCGUUGCCCUCUUCAUACUCUACUACUCAAAGGGUCUUAUUAUUAACACAAGCGCUGCGACCGACACUCAUACAACAUCCGAGAAUGUUUAA
rnacentral:rRNA from 1 species